GCUCAGCAUCCCCUAAAUGAAGUCACCAACUGAACAAAUAAAUCUUGGGCAAACUUCAGGUAAAGAGCUGUAUUUCAAAGGCAAUAUGGGCACUUAGAGAAGAUGCACUCAAUGCUCAACACCCCUGAAAUACAACUCAGCUGGACUGUGAAAAUACCACACCAAGAAAGUGGAAAGGUGACCAUGAAGAUAGUGACAACACACAAGACGGGUACAUGAAACUUAAAGAGAGAAACUUACAAAAG